rnacentral:rRNA from 1 species
UACGUAGGGGGCAAGCGUUGUCCGGAAUUAUUGGGCGUAAAGAGCGCGUAGGCGGCCGUUCACGUCGGGUGUGAAAGCUCGGGGCUCAACCCUGAGAGGUCAUUCGAUACGGAUCGGCUAGAGGCAGGUAGGGGAAAGUGGAAUUCCUGGUGUAGCGGUGAAAUGCGUAGAUAUCAGGAGGAACACCAAUUGCGAAGGCAGCUCGCUGGGACGUUACUGACGCUGAGACGCGAAAGCGUGGGGAGCAAACAGG